rnacentral:lncRNA from 1 species
AUUGGAGGUGGUGGUGGGGGUGGAGGUGGAGGUGGGGGUGCAACCUGUUUAGGAGGCAAAGGUGGAGAAGCAGGCACAACUUCAUCAUCAAUAUAGAUGUCAUAUGAGCUAGGUGGUGGAGGUGGAGGAGGAGGAGGUGGUGGUGGUGGAGGUGGAGAUGCCCUGCUUGCUACUGGCGGCAGUGGUGUAGGAGGUGGAGUAGUAACCUUCACUGAAUUCUCUUCCAAAAUUCCAACAAGAUCUUUCAAGGCACCAGAACCCAGAGACUUACCAGAUCGCCGAACAGGUGAAGACUCGCCCACUUUAACAUCUUUCUUUGAUCCAUUCUCUGCUUUAUUCCUCACACCUUCACCUGAUUUUUUCUCCCCCAAUUCUGCCAGGACAGGUGGCGCACUAUUAUACCUCGUUGGUGGAUAAGACACAUGCAAUGAAUUCGUAUACGAUCCUUUAUUAGGAGGAAUCCACCUUGACACCACAUUCGGCUUUGCAAUUCUUGUAUUCACAGGACCUUCCGGUGGCUUUCCUUUUUGCUUUGAGUUUCCCGAAACUUUUCUUCCAUCUUUACCCUUCUUCCCCGGACUCUCUUCCCUUUCCUCUUUAUCUUUUAUUUCAACUUCAUUAGCAACCACUUCUGUAAGCUUCAAACCACCAUUUAUAUACCCCAAAUCAUUUCCUUUUUUCACCUUAUUUUCAGGUUGUGCUUCCUCCUUCAACACUAUAUCAUAAUUUUCAGCAUCCGAUUCAUUGUCUUUUAUAGUUAAAAGAGUAUCAGAUUCAAAUUCAGAUUCAGAUUCCACUUUUGCAUCUGGCGUAUCAACUACAUUACUGAAAAUCUCUUCCAUAUCAUAAAACUCUUCAGGUGUAGGACUUUCUGUCUCACUCCCAUCUUCAAAUUCUCCUUCUGUGUUGAUCAUAGAUGAUAGAGCAUCAGCAUCCGAAAAAAUCACCUGAUAAUACAUCAUGUAUCUAUAUAUAUGAGUAUAUGCAUUCAACUUCUUUCACUUCUCAAAAAAAAAAAAAAAAGAUUCAAAAAUAAAAUCAAAGUUUUCGACUUUCCUACCUCUGCUUUAAAGUUCUUGGGAAUCUGGUCUCUUGAAUCCCACAUGACAUCAACUUCAUCGCGACUCAACAUAAGCACAUUACCUCGAAUAAACGUUGUGUGAAACAUCACUCUAAACAUCAUUUCCUCUCUUACAUGAUCCAAAUGUAUGCAUUCAAGAACAACAUCACCUUGUACACGAUGAUGAAUAUCUAUCUUCACAAGCUCACACUCUUCUGGUUGAUAGUAACGCGCUUGUUUUUUGGUUUUUGAAGAUGAAAACAAAAGCUUAGAACUUCUAUUGGCUGUUGUUGAAGAUGAAUCUUGACCAUAUACACGAACAACAGGUCGACAACCCUUUUCACCAAAAAUUGGAAGGACACGAAGUAUGAUACAAUCCAAAGCUAAAGGUGUGUCUGAAGGUGGCCAAUCAGAACCCAAAUUUCUCCUUGAUAUAUACUGAAGAUACCUCAGCUGUGAAGGCUGAGGAUUUAAAGGUGUAAGAAGAUGAAGAAGCUCUUUAGGGGCUUGUUUGUAUACCAUAUCAAGAGUCUUCUGUUCACCAUUGUAUUGUUUGCGAAAUAGAAGAAGAGCUGCAAGCAUAAAAGCAAGAACAGGCCACCCUCCUCUUUCACAGUGCAUUAAGAGCACGUUUUGUUGUCCUGCUAAUGAUAACCAGCUUUCACUGGACCGAAGAAAGUGAUGGAUCAUUUCUAAUGGUAACAUUGGGCACCCUUCAUAUUGUCUAGGGUACUCCAUUACUGUCAUGUCGUAUUGAGAUAAUAUGUCUGAAAUUUGGGUCCUUUUAUCGCCUUCUCUAAAGUUGAAAACCAUGAAAGACGAAUCAGGAUAGUAGUCUUGGAGUUCUGCAACAAUGCCACCCAUGUACAUCUUGUAUUCAUCUUCUUCCAGUACUUCACUCGAGAAGCAGCAAUCAAAAACUGCAAAUAAAUUUUGUCAAUCAGAAGGUAGAAAAGUUUUGGACCUAAAAUAUACCAAAUUUCCCACAAAUGUCAACUCUAGAAGAAAGAUAUUUGAAACAGAAAAUGGUGGCUGAAGUAAGGUCGUAUGAUAAAUCCGAUACAACAGGAGAAAAAAUCGAACUGUUUCAGUAAAAUUCGAAGAAAUAAUCAACAAAUUACGAAUUCAUCCCAAAAGAAACGGGAAAGAGCGAAUUUGAAUAAUGUGUUGAGAAUAUUUAGCAGGUGAACUUAGAUUCUUCUAUGGAUUCCGAGAUUCUAGAAGAUAAGCGAAAUUGUGUGGCGCUUUAAUUAGAAACAUACCGUAAACCCGCUCGGAGAUCUCAAGGAGGCGAUCCGGCGGCUUGCGAUAAAAGAAGCGUUUGAACAGCGCCAUCUAAUGGCGCUGUUACGCUUCCGACCGGAUCCAAAAUCUUGACCCCUGUAUGUUCAAUUUCUUCAACCCAAAAAUGUUGACUCUGUAAUACCUAGAUCGAUCUCGCACUUGUCCUAUUGUCGUUUCUAAUUUACACCCAGUAAUAUAUAGCACCAAUCCGAUCACAGAGAAGUGUUGAAUUCGAUUUUAAACUCCAAUUGCGAAUUCGAUCCCCCAAUAUAAGCUUAGAAGACAAGGCCGGUGUGUGCGUAAUCUAUAAAUCUACUAAUCUGGGUCAGCUGAUUAAAGAGAAAUUCUGGUGAAGUUAAUGAUGAAGUAUAGAUAAGUUUAGUGGAGAUAGGGUUUGUGGGAAGUUAUAGGUAGGGAAAUGGCGAUCGAAACAUUAGGAGGAAGAAGCAUGUGGUUUUUCUGCCAAUUUGAUGAUGAUUUGGAAAUCACAUGGAGAGAUGGAUGAAAUGAAAUGGGGGAGUGUUGAAAAAGGAAAGAAGAAUCGUAGACCCGAACCUUUCUACCAAUUGUAUGAAUCAGUGAGAUGCAAAUCUGUGAUUAUCACAUACACGUGGAAUCUAAAAGAACAAAGAAAGAAAGAUUAUGAACAAGAUAUGGAGAGAUUUAAGGGUUUGAAGUUCGAAGAAAUAAAGAUGAAAGAGAUAAAAAAAGUUUGGAGUAUAUUGUUGUCAAAGGGAUUUACAAAAAUGUGAUUUUUGCUUUCUUCCAUGGCAACUCGAC